AUUGAACGCUGGCGGCAUGCCUUACACAUGCAAGUCGAACGGUAACGCGGGGCAACCUGGCGACGAGUGGCGAACGGGUGAGUAAUACAUCGGAACGUGCCCAGUAGUGGGGGAUAGCCCGGCGAAAGCCGGAUUAAUACCGCAUACGACCUACGGGUGAAAGCAGGGGAUCGCAAGACCUUGCGCUAUUGGAGCGGCCGAUGUCAGAUUAGGUUGUUGGUGGGGGUAAAAAGCCUACCAAGCCGACGAUCUGUAGCUGGUCUGAGAGGACGACCAGCCACACUGGGACUGAGACACGGCCCAGACUCCUACGGGAGGCAGCAGUGGGGAAUUUUGGACAAUGGGCGCAAGCCUGAUCCAGCCAUGCCGCGUGCGGGAA
rnacentral:rRNA from 1 species